CUUCUUAUCUUCUCACCGUUGUACUAGUUGAACCUGUUGUAAACUUCCCCUAUUAAGAGCAGCACCCAAACGUGCAGCAACGCUUGUCGACCACACAUCCAAGCAAAUAAUUGAGAGCGAGAUCGAGACACGAAGCCAUGGAUCUGGCGACGGGCGCCAUAGGCUCCCUGCUCCCCAAGCUGUUCGAGCUCCUCGCCGACGAGUACAAGCUGCCGAAGAGCGUCAAGGAAGGCGUCAGGUCCCUGGAGAAGGAGAUGAAGAGCAUGCACGCCGCCCUGCGCAAGGUGGCAGAGGUGCCCCGCGGCCAGCUCGAUGAGCAGGUCAGGCUCUGGGCAGCGGAGGUCAGGGAGCUCUCCUUCGACAUGGAGGACGUCGUCGACAAGUUUCUGGUGCGUGCCGAUGAUGACUCCGAGCCUUCCACCAACACGAACAAGCUUAAGUUGCUCAUCGAGAAGAUGGCCAACUUCUUCCCUAAGCUGAAGACUCGCCAUCAGAUCGCCGAUGCUAUCAAGGACAUCCAUAAGCAAGUCCAAGAGGUCGCUAACAGGCGGGGAAGGUACACCGUCGACAAUAUUGUUGCGAGAAUUGCACCCGCGACAACCAUUGAUCCGCGCCUUAAGGCUUUGUACACUGAAGUGACGGAGCUUGUGGGCAUUGCUGGGAAAAGGGAUCAAGAGCUAAUGAAUUUUCUCUCAGAAGGAGACAGCGUGUCCAACAAAAAGUUAAAGAUUGUCUCUGUCGUUGGAUUUGGGGGAUUGGGCAAGACCACUCUUGUCAAAACUGUGUAUGAGAAGAUCAAGACAGAUUUUGAUUGCAGGGCUUUCAUUCCUGUCGGUCGAAAUGCUGAUGCGAAGAAGGUUUUCAUGGAUAUCCUUCAUGAUCUUGGCAUGCAAGGAAGUCAUCUUACCGAACUGGAUGAAAGACAGCUCAUCGACAUACUCCGGGAAAGACUCGAGAACAAGAGGUACCUCAUUGUAAUUGAUGAUAUAUGGGAUGAAAAAUUGUGGGAAAUUAUCAACUUGGCAUUCUCUAGAAGUAAUAAUUUUGGCAGUCGGCUAAUCACAACAACCCGUAUAGUCAGUGUAUCUAAAGUAUGCUGCUCAUCCACUGGUCAUUCAAUUUAUCAAAUGAAACCUCUUAGUGAUGAUGAUUCAAAAACACUCUUCCAUAAAAGGAUAUUUUCUCAGGAGAGUGGAUGUCCCCUUGAAUUUGAAGAAGUAUCCACAGAUAUUCUGAAGAAAUGUGGUGGAGUGCCAUUAGCCAUCAUUACUAUAGCUAGUCUUUUGACUAGUGAUCAGAAGGUAAAGCCAAAGGAUGAAUGGCGUUCUUUGCUCAAGUCUAUUGGUCGUGGACUUACAGAAGACCCCAGUGUAGAGGAGAUGCUGAGGAUACUAUCGUUUAGCUAUUAUGAUCUGCCUUCUCAUCUCAGGACAUGUUUAUUAUACCUAAGCAUGUUUCCGGAGGAUUAUUUUAUUAGAAAAGAUCGGGUGAUAUGGAUGUGGAUUGCCGAAAGCUUUGUCCAAUGUGAAAAGGCAGGAGCUAGUCUCUUUGAGAUCGGAGAAACUUACUUCAAUGAGCUAGCGAACAGAAACAUGAUCCAGCCGGUAUAUGAUUAUAGGGGUACGGAAGUAGAAGCUUGCCGUGUACAUGAUAUGGUUCUAGAUCUAAUAUCUUCCUUGUCAAGAGAGGACAACUUUGUUACUGUAAUGAAUGGUACUGGUGAUAGCAUGUCUUCUCAGAUCAACAUCCGCAGGAUGUCCCUCCAAAAUGUUAGAAAAGAAGAAGGAUGUCAAGCCACGCCUCUCAAAUCUGUAAGUACGUUACAAGUGAGGUCAAUUGCUACAUUCGGACUUGCUAUUGGUCUAAUGCCGCCUUUCCUGAGCUUGGUUGUUCUACGUGUGUUGGAUCUGAAUGGAUGUGAUAUUGGUGAGCAUAAUCAUCUAAUCCUUCAGGACCUGGGGAGUUUAUUGCACCUGAGGUACCUAGGUCUAGCCAGAACAGGAAUUUCCGUGGUACCGGAAGAGGUUGGAAAGUUGCAGUUUCUGCAGGUGCUUGAUUUGAGUGGAAAUCAACGUAUAAAAGAAUUGACAUCGGCUGUUAUGAAACUGAAAAGACUGAUGUGCCUACUUAUUGAAUAUGGCUGUGUGUGGCUUCCAGAUGGGCUGGGAAACCUGACAUCAAUGGAAGUGUUGAGAGAUAUCACUUUUGAUUCUAUAAGCACGGUGAAAGAGUUGGGCAACAUGAAAAGGCUGAGGGAGCUUGGAAUCGAGUUUGAUAAUUUGAGCUUGGAGUUGGAGGAAGCUUUUGUGGAGUCACUAGGAAAACUGUCCAACAUCCAAAGUUUGGAAAUUUCUUGCGGUGCUCUGCCCAUUGAAUCAAUAGAUAUUUUGGGGGAACGUUGGGUGCCCCCUGGAAGUCUCCAGAAAUUUGUCGCAAUAAGUAACAAAUUCUCUACACUGCCUGCCUGGAUAAGAAGGAAUCCCUCGCACCUGUCCAAACUUUUCAAGUUAGAGAUCUGUGUCGAUCAAGUGGGACAGGAGUGUGUGGAAAUCCUUGGAAGGUUACCGGCUCUUCGUAGUCUUUACUUCUCGAGCCUCCGCCAGAGCGGGCCGCUACUCGUCGUCGUUGGUGGGUUCCCUUGUCUGACAUCAUUCGGGUGGCUUUGCCCGCCAGCGUGUGAAAUCGUGUUCCAGGCAGGAGCUAUGCCCAAGGCUGAACGAGUUGCGCUUGAUAUCGGUGUGCGGGUCACAAAUGAGGAAGCAGCUGGCGACCUGGGGAUGGGUAACCUGCCGUCCCUUCGGCAUGUCGGUGUCACCUUGAGUCGCGAAGGAGUGGCGGUCGGGCAGGCCAAGCAAGCGAAGGCUGCGCUCGAGAAUACACUCCGCGUCCAUCCUAACAGUCCCACCUUUGGUAUCUACCUCUAUCCGGAGAUACCAGCGGACGCUGACGUCUAGUUCUCGGACGAUGAGUCGGGAGACUCGGAGUGAAGAACCUGCAGGCUAGUAUUGUUUAUUGGAGACGCACGUCUGCAGACCAUAAGCAGCUCGCCGGGAACUUUAAGCAUGUGUUUCGGUUAGCUCCUUCCGUGAGGUGAGGAGGACUUUUACAGUACCCCGAUUUUGACAGGAACCAUCCAUUUUGACCAAUCCAAUGGCUCCUGGGCGCUCUAGCAGCCCAUGGAGUACAAACUCAAAAUCCGACGGAAAACUCGCGGAGUACCUCCACCGGAUGGUCAAAAAGUAAUUACUCCUCGUUGGGGAGUGGUAUUUAGGUGUUCUUUGUUUGUAUGAGGGUUUCUUUGCAUUAGUUAUGCCGGUGAAGCAUCUCCCGUCUCAAAUCGCGGACGAACCCUAGCAGAGCUCAUUUUGGCGGCGGAGGGGGAAAUGGAGGAUGAGCGGACGGGGGAAGGGGACGAAGAGCAGCGCUGCCGUGGUGUCCAGCCACCCGACGGAUGGGCGCCAGAAACGGAGGAGCCGACCGGGGAGGGGGACGAGGCGCCAGCGCAGCCAUGGCGUCCAGGCCCCUCCGACGGAUGCGAGCCGGCGGAUGGGCACCAGUUGUAGUCGGCUCGCGGCGGCGAGGUGGGGGAAGGGAGGAGCGGCCAGGUGGUCGGCUCCCUCGACAGAUGCGCUCCGACGGGUGCGGGAGUGGUGGUGGUUGGUUCGCUGCGGUGGCGAGGUGGGGGGAAGGGAGGAGCGGCCGUGGCGGUCAGGUGGUCAGCUCCCUCGGCUGAUGCGCGGUCCUGCACGACCAGAACCGUGAUGAACAUUGAGGAGUUCAACAUAGAAUGUCGCAUGGUAAUUGCUUCCUAUCAACGUCUACAUAUUUUUGCAUAUGAAUGCAUGGUGGAGAGUUAAAAUGAAUUCAUGGAUGGAAUUUUGAAGUGCAUGUAGUAAUUAUUGCACUCCUGUGUAAAUUUUUUGGGAAGUUUUUUCCCAUCCAGUACUAUAUGAACCUAAGCACAAACAGAUCACAAGAGCUCCUGAAACAAAUACCAAAAUAAUGAUUAGAUUUGCAUUAGAUGAGUUUAUGAAAUCAGAGUACACUCUGGUGAUGAAUGUGCAUACUGAUCUUUCUGCUUUGGCAAAUCGUUAAUAGUAGUUCUCUUUCAAAGUCGCGCAUCAUUGUGUGGCCACUUUUACGUCUCAGAAACUUCUUUGAGAGUUUCUUCUGACAUCCGUAAAUAUGCAGCUAUACCUCCUAGCUGAAAGUGUUUGUUCAAGUCAGUAAUUAAUAUAAUGCAAAAGCUCUAGUAUCCGUAAGAUAGCAGAGAAUGUACUCUGACUGUGUUUUGGAGUUCAGCAUCUGGACCCAUAGUGGGAAUUGAGUUCAGAAUCUGGAUACCUCUGUCCUUUGGAUUUAUGACUGUUACAUACCUGUGUAACCCACGGUUCAAGGGUAAGAAAAUCUACAUAAAUAUAGAUGUAAGACUUUGCACAAAAUAAUUGGCAUUCAAAUUUGAGUACGUAGGUAAUUUAGUUGGCUAGUAUGUUAUGCAUAAGGUAGUCAACUACUUUAGUCACCCAAUGUAUCUUCUCCAUUUGUUGCAGCCUCUAUGUAUUUGUUUGUUAUGUCGCCCGCGAACUUGUGAGGAACUUAUGUGAACUCAACGAGGACACAUUUCCUUGUGUCCAUUACUCCCUUGUGGGUAGAUUGCAGCUAUGCCUUCUUACAGUGCGACAAUAUAGCAAGGAUGUUCUAUUCUUCAGUUAUCCGACGUCACUGGAGAACAAGACUAACAGCGGAGAUUAGCCAAUGACGCCGUACUCACUUUGCCGUUUUCUGAAAGUACUAUUGCCGUUUAAUUAAACGCUGUUAUUGUACUGGUGGUAUAAAGUCCAGCUACGCCUGGCGUCUUGUUCAUCUUGUUGGUAUUUGCCUUGAGCAAAAUAUACCUAAGAAUAUACUCUAUACCUAAAACCCUAAGUCGGGGUAUCUGAAGGAGGGGUCUCCCUCCUCAGAACUACUUUAUUGUUUGAGCAAAUUCGAGUGAUUUCAUGAA